GCCCGGAUGGUGAAAUUGGUAGACACAAGAGACUUAAAAUCUCUCGCCAGUAAUGGUGUGCCGGUUCGACCCCGGCUCCGGGCA
rnacentral:tRNA from 2 species